ensembl:lncRNA LINC01515 long intergenic non-protein coding RNA 1515
ACAGAAGUUGGUGCCCUUUGCAGCAGCCAGGAGUCCGACUCCUCCUCUUCCUGUGUGGAACCUGGAAUUCAAACGGCUGGGGCCUCACUCACGGCAUAUGGAACUAACCACGCCCCUAACUAAGAAGGCACACCUUAGUUGCAGUUAGCACACAAUUAAAGCAACUCUCCAAGUUUUACCUUAAAGUUCAAAAUUGCUAGGAGUUGAAACUACUAGAAAUAUAUUUACAUGCAAGAGUCAAAGAAACUUUGAACUAUUUAUGGCCUUUAAUAAUUAAGUAAGGUAUACUCCUGUGAUCAAGACUUGGAGCAUAUUUGUUUCUCUCUGCCUGGUUCCUCUAGAAAUUGGAAACUAUCAGAACAGAGACCAACUCCGUUUCCCGAUCCCUUUGCAAUCUGCAUUGAACCAUGAGUCAAGUUCUUGAUAAAGGAGUGAAAAUGGUAAGUCUAAAGCAAUGAAAAGCUGCUGUAUUGACUACACAUGCCUUCAUUUCUUCUACCCUGCUUCUUUCAUGCCUGCUUAUCUGAAUGACACCAGGAUGACAUUUAAGGCACAUCUGAAGAUGGGGAAACCACAGCACAGAAUAAGGCUGGGCCCUUGAAUCAAUAAAUGAAGGAGAACUACUCAAGAGAACAAAACCACCAGCAAUAUCCACCUGUAUUUGUCUUUUCAUAAUGUGUGACACAUGUGCUCAUGGAUUAUUGUCCGAAGCAAGACAUGUGACCAAGCCUAACAUCAACUGGGUGAAGAGCUAUAUGUUCCUUUCUCAAGAGGCACUACAAGUGACAUGCCACUGGGCAGCAAAAGCUGGAGGUGCCUUGACAUUUGCAGUACACUGAAACAGUGGCUGGCUUGAAAAAUCCCAAAACGAUUUUCUGCAGGAGAGCCCUUUUGACUAAUAUGAGUAUUUCUGUUGCAGAAUAUUUAUGUGUGAAUCAACUAGAGGAAUGAACAUCACCUAAAGACAAAACAGGAUCUUUGUAUACAUCUUCUGGGAAGGAGUUGUUAUCAUUUCCACAAGGCCAAUUGCAUCAUUCGGAUAAAAACAUUAUAUUGUUGUCUUUAUUUGGAAGUAAAAUAUAUUUUAAAGAGAUGUGAAUGAUUAUAAAGUUUAUAAUAGGUAUACUGUGAUGACUUUGUCAAACGUUAACUUGACUAGGCUGAAUGAUAUUUCCUAGAAUUCCCUUUCCUUUGUUUUCUAUUAAAGAGGGAAUGUUUUCUGGUAGACCAUGUAAUAGAGAUAGAA